rnacentral:rRNA from 1 species
AUUGAACGCUGGCGGAAUGCUUUACACAUGCAAGUCGAACGGCAGCACGGACUUCGGUCUGGUGGCGAGUGGCGAACGGGUGAGUAAUGUAUCGGAACGUGCCCAGUCGUGGGGGAUAACGUAGUGAAAAUUACGCUAAUACCGCAUACGAUCUAUGGAUGAAAGCGGGGGAUCGCAAGACCUCGCGCGAUUGGAGCGGCCGAUAUCAGAUUAGGUAGUUGGUGGGGUAAAGGCCCACCAAGCCAACGAUCUGUAGGUGGUCCGAGAGGACGACCAGCCACACUGGAACUGAGACACGGUCCAGACUCCUACGGGAGGCAGCAGUGGGGAAUUUUGGACAAUGGGCGAAAGCCUGAUCCAGCCAUUCCGCGUGCAGGAUGAAGGCCCUCGGGUUGUAAACUGCUUUUGUACAGAACGAAAAGGUUUCUACUAAUACUAGGAGCUCAUGACGGUACUGUAAGAAUAAGCACCGGCUAACUACGUGCCAGCCGCCGCAGUAA